UUAAGGGGGAGCUUGUAAUUUUACAGGCUGAGAGGCUCAAUUGAGCGACCCUUAAACCUGAUCUGGAUAAUACCAGCGUAGGAAAUCAAAU
rnacentral:ncRNA from 1 species